UACAGAGGGUGCGAGCGUUGUCCGGAAUCACUGGGCGUAAAGGGCGCGUAGGUGGCGCGACAAGUCAGUGGUGAAAGCUCGACGCUUAACGUCGAGUCGGCCACUGAUACUGUUGGGCUUGAGCACUGUAGAGGCAGAUGGAAUUCCGGGUGUAGCGGUGGAAUGCGUAGAGAUCCGGAAGAACACCGGUGGCGAAAGCGCUCUGCUAGGCCGCAACUGACACUGAGGGACGAAAGCUAGGGGAGCGAAUGGG
rnacentral:rRNA from 1 species